rnacentral:rRNA from 1 species
GACAGAGGGUGCAAACGUUGUUCGGAAUUACUGGGCGUAAAGCGUGUGUAGGCGGUCUGACAAGUCGGAUGUGAAAGCCCCGGGCUCAACCCGGGAAGUGCACUCGAUACUGCCAGACUUGAGUGUCGGAGAGGUUGGUAGAAUUCUCGGUGUAGAGGUGAAAUUCGUAGAUAUCGAGAGGAAUACCGGCGGCGAAGGCGGCCAACUGGACGAACACUGACGCUGAGACACGAAAGCGUGGGGAGCAAACAGG